GGGGCAUUAGCUCAGUGGGAGAGCGCUUGAUUCACAUUCAAGAGGUCGCCGGUUCGAAACCAGCAUGCCCCACCA
rnacentral:tRNA from 1 species